UACGUAGGGUGCGAGCGUUGUCCGGAAUUAUUGGGCGUAAAGAGCUUGUAGGCGGUUUGUCGCGUCUGCCGUGAAAUUUCGAGGCUCAACCUCGAACUUGCGGUGGGUACGGGCAGACUAGAGUGUGGUAGGGGAGACUAGAAUUCCUGGUGUAGCGGUGAAAUGCGCAGGAUAUCAGGAGGAACACCGGUGGCGAAGGCGGUUCUCUGGGCAUUGACCUGACGCUGAGGAGCGAAAGUGUGGGGAGCGAACAGG
rnacentral:rRNA from 1 species